rnacentral:rRNA from 1 species
AUGGAGAGUUGGGUCGGGGCGAAUAUCAACAUUCAUCACGACCCCUGGAUACCCUGCAGCGGUAGCACAAAACCUCUCGGUCAAGUGUAUAUGCAGGGCAUCACCAAGGUUGCUAAUUUGCUGAACCCUGACGGGAUGACCUGGAAUGAGGAGGUGGUCGAUGCGAUGUUUUCGGGGGAUGAUGCAGCGGACGUGAAACAGAUUGCUAUAGGAGGACUGCACACAGAUGAUUUCCUUGCAUGGAAUUAUACAAGGAAUGGUGUGUUCUCGGUCAAGUCCGCAUAUCACCUGAGGAUGUCUACGAAUAGAGCGAGGACCGGACAGCCGGAGUCCUCGAGCUCGGUAGCAAAGCACAAGGGGUACUUGGCACUGUGGGAAACGAGUGCCCCUGGUAAAGUCAAAAUUCAUAUGUGGCGCAUGAUAUGA